ensembl:snRNA U6 U6 spliceosomal RNA
AUACUCACUUUGGCAGCACUUACACUAAAAUUGAAUGGUACAGAAGAAAUUAGCAUGGCCCAUGUGCAAAGAUGACAUGAGAAUUCAUGAUAUGUUCUAUAUUUUU